CAGCACAUUUCGGGCUCCCACUUUCAACUGUUGAGGAGCUAAAACGUUUGGAGGAGAAAUUGAAGAAUCCAGAGGAGGAGAAGAAUUUGACUGUUCUCCUUGGAAUGGUCGGAGGCAUGACUUUGAAAGAUACUGUGGGGCGGGUCCUGAAAAGAGCCAUGAACACCUCGCUGGCGAGACUAAUUAAUUGGAGUGGGGCCAACCAAAAGCCUGCAUUCAAAAGACUAAUUUUGAAAAGUGUGGUCGUGGAUGCAGUCCGCCGGAAUGUCCUAACCAAAAGAUUCCUCCGAAAAGGAGAUAGAGCUCCUCAUCACCAGAUGGCUGCAGCUGGCCUGUGACCGGGAUGGUGGCCGAAGCCAGAGGGCAAACCGGCAGACAUCAUAGAUAAGGGUGUCAAACUCAAAUGCUGUAAAUGUUCAAAAUAGUUUAAAUCCUUGUUGAUUUUACAUUACUGCUGUGACAUUUCACGCAGUAUCUGUUAUUAAAAACUAUUUGUUUUGUAUGUGUGUGUGU